AUUCUUAUAGUUGAAUUACACAACAGUGGUUUUUCAGUCCACCGGUUUUGGUUAAAGGCCAGAUGAGAAUU
rnacentral:tRNA from 1 species